rnacentral:rRNA from 1 species
CCAAUAGCGUAUAUUAAAGUUGUUGCAGUUAAAAAGCUCGUAGUUGAAUUUCGGGAUCAAUGUGUUGGUCGUGCCUUGGUACGUACUGGCAUUAUUGGUUUCUACCUUCUGAAGAACCUCGAUGUCAUUAAUUUGGUGUCUUGGGGAAUCAGGACUGUUACUUUGAAAAAAUUAGAGUGUUUAAAGCAGGCUCGCGCUUGAAUACAUUAGCAUGGAAUAAUGAAAUAGGACGUUUGAUUCUAUUUUGUUGGUUUCUAGGAUCGACGUAAUGAUUAAUAGGGAUAGUUGGGGGCAUUAGUAUUCAAUUGUCAGAGGUGAAAUUCUUGGAUUUAUUGAAGACUAACUACUGCGAAAGCAUUUGCCAAGGAUGUUUUCAUUAAUCAAGAACGAAAGUUAGGGGAUCGAAGACGAUCAGAUACCGUCGUAGUCUUAACCAUAAACUAUGCCGACUAGGGAUCGGAUGAUGUUAAUUUUUUAAUGACUCAUUCGGCGCCUUACG